UAUUUCACAAUGGGGGAAACCCUGAUGCAGCGACGCCGCGUGAGUGAAGAAGCAUUUCGGUAUGUAAAGCUCUACCAGCCGGUAAGAAAAUGACGGUACCUGAUUAAGAAGCCCCGGCUAACUACGAGCCAGCCGCCGCGGUAAUACGUAGGGGGCAAGCGUUAUCCGGAUUUACUGGGUGCAAAGGGAGCGUAGACGGCAGCACAAGUCUGGAGUGAAAUGCCGGGGCUUAACCCCGGAACUGCUUUGGAAACUGUGCAGCUAGAGUGCAGGAGAGGUAAGUGGAAUUCCUAGUGUAGCGGUGAAAUGCGUAGAUAUUAGGAGGAACACCAGUGGCGAAGGCGGCUUACUGGACUGUAACUGACGUUGAGGCUCGAAAGCGUGGGGAGCAAACAGG
rnacentral:rRNA from 1 species